UACGUAGGGUGCGAGCGUUGUCCGGAAUUACUGGGCGUAAAGAGCUCGUAGGUGGUUUGUCGCGUUGUUCGUGAAAACUCACAACUCAAUUGUGGGCGUGCGGGCGAUACGGGCAGACUGGAGUACUGCAGGGGAGACUGGAAUUCCUGGUGUAGCGGUGGAAUGCGCAGAUAUCAGGAGGAACACCGGUGGCGAAGGCGGGUCUCUGGGCAACAACUGACGCUGAGGAGCGAAAGCCAGGGGAGCGAACGGG
rnacentral:rRNA from 1 species